GCCCAAUUGGUUUGGAUGGCAAACAUGGACAGAAUGGCCCUAAGGGUGACAUGGGUCAGCGUGGUCCUAAAGGACUCCCCGGGGAACUGGGACCUCAAGGAGAAAAGGGUGUCUGUGGUGACUACACACAUCGGGUAA